rnacentral:rRNA from 1 species
GACGAACCGUACGAACGUUAUUCGGAAUCACUGGGCUUAAAGGGUGCGUAGGCGGCGCGACAAGUUGGGUGUGAAAUCCCUCGGCUCAACCGAGGAACUGCGCCCAAAACUGUCGUGCUCGAGGGAGACAGAGGUGAGCGGAACUUAGGGUGGAGCGGUGAAAUGCGUUGAUAUCCUAAGGAACACCGGUGGCGAAAGCGGCUCACUGGGUCUCUUCUGACGCUGAGGCACGAAAGCUAGGGUAGCGAACGGG